GAUGAACGCUAGCUACAGGCUUAACACAUGCAAGUCGCGGGGCAGCAUGGGGGUUGCUUGCAAUCCCCGAUGGCGACCGGCGCACGGGUGAGUAACGCGUAUCCAACCUGCCCUUCACCACGGGAUAACCCGGCGAAAGUCGGACUAAUACCGUAUGUUGUCCAUUGACGGCAUCCGAUUUGGACGAAAGGUUUGGCGGUGACGGAGGGGGAUGCGUCCGAUUAGCUGGACGGUGGGGUGUGGGCCCACCGUGGCGACGAUCGGUAGGGGUUCUGAGAGGAAGGUCCCCCACACUGGAACUGAGACACGGUCCAGACUCCUACGGGAGGCAGCAGUGAGGAAUAUUGGUCAAUGGGCGUAAGCCUGAACCAGCCAAGUAGCGUGCAGGAUGACGGCCCUAUGGGUUGUAAACUGCUUUUAUGCGGGGAUAAAGUGGCCCACGUGUGGGUUUUUGCAGGUACCGCAUGAAUAAGGACCGGCUAAUUCCGUG
rnacentral:rRNA from 1 species